rnacentral:lncRNA from 1 species
UGAGGCCCUGAGAAGCAAAGGAAGGCUUUCGGGCUGAAAGAACCAAUAAUGGAUGCCGGAAGGGCAGGAGUACCCUUGGAUACUUACUGUUGAAGCUCGGGACAGUACAUGUGCUUGGGGAAGAAGGACAGCGGCCUGACCCUCAGCAUUCUACCUGCUACUAAAAACCCCUCUCAUGCUUUGAAGAUCAGAGCUCCGGGGUGGGAGGAAGAAGAAGAAGAAGAAGAAAAAACAAAAAAACCAAAGAAACAAAUUCAGAAACAAAGCAAAA